rnacentral:rRNA from 1 species
GAUGAACGCUGGCGGCGUGCCUAAUACAUGCAAGUCGAGCGAACAGACGAGGAGCUUGCUCCACUGACGUUAGCGGCGGACGGGUGAGUAACACGUGGAUAACCUACCUAUAAGACUGGGAUAACUUCGGGAAACCGGAGCUAAUACCGGAUAAUAUAUUGAACCGCAUGGUUCAAUAGUGAAAGACGGUUUUGCUGUCACUUAUAGAUGGAUCCGCGCCGCAUUAGCUAGUUGGUAAGGUAACGGCUUACCAAGGCAACGAUGCGUAGUCGACCUGAGAGGGUGAUCGGCCACACUGGAACUGAGACACGGUCCAGACUCCUACGGGAGGCAGCAGUAGGGAAUCUUCCGCAAUGGGCGAAAUCCUGACGGAGCAACGCCGCGUGAGUGAUGAAGGUCUUCGGAUCGUAAAACUCUGUUAUUAGGGAAGAAUAAAUGUGUAAGUAACUAUGCACGUCUUGACGGUACCUAAUCAGAAAGCCACGGCUAACUACGUG